CCACUCACAGGCAUGGGAGGAGAUGAGGUUUCAGUACCUCUUCCCGCCUGUAUUUUAUGGAGAUUGUUGGCUGCCAGUUGUAUCAUUUCGGUGUCUCGCGUGGGGGAGGAAGGGUUAUUGUCUGAAAUCCUUUGUUUUUUUUAAGCCUUUUUUAGUUUGCAGUGCAUACAAAGGUGCCGGUUCGUGUUUUGUGCUUGUGAAUUAGCGGGAAGGAAAAGAGAGGGAGAGAGAGAGACAGCGAGAGAGGGAACACGAGCUGCCCCGAGUGCAUACUUUCUACGAAGGUAAAGAAUCUGUGUACUGGAAAGGUUUAAGUUAUUUGCUUAAGACCACACAGUUAGAUAGGUAGCAGCUGUGCCAGGAUAUCCAACAUCUAGUUUCAGUAGGAAAUAGUGACUGUCUUCUCUCUCGCUGAGAAAUUGGCAGAGCUGUGAAGCUCUGAGUGGGACCAGAAAAGGAACUUGCUACUGCAUGAAUAUCAAGAGAGGAACAAACUACAUAUAUUUCAUAGGGUUGAGUGGGGGCUCUCACACACCUGAGAUACCCCGAGAAAACAGGCAAUGAAGACUCCUAUAACUCUCCUCAGACACUUCUUUCAACCCAACCUCUGGGUGCACCCUUUUAGGGCCUUCAACUUAGCAGGUGGAAAACCCAAGACCUGGAGAGUCCCAAGAGAACAGGUCCAGCUGGUGGCCAAGGGGACGGGGAGCCCCCAUCGGCUGUGCAUUGCCUGGUGCCCUUUACAGUUUGCACGCUGUCCCUCCUGGCCGGGAUCGCAAGCUACAUCAUAGGUUGUGCGUGUAUUAUGUACAUUUUGACUAACAAGAAAAUAAAUAGCGUGUCUGAAAAAAUACAUCACACGGAGAAAGUAGGAUGAAGUCAUUACAACAAUUAAUGGCCAAGAGACUGGAGCAAGCAAACGUUGUCUGGUCAGGUGAAGGUUUUAUAAGAGGCUCACAUUUCAAUUGCCUUCCUCCAGUAGGAAAUAAACAUUAAUAAUAAGGA